ensembl:lncRNA
GAUGAAGUUCUGCUCAAUUAGGGGACGCUCAUAUAUUUGAUGAUUAGAAUAAGAAUAAAUAGACAUUUAUUCCGACAGAAAAAUACAGCGAAUGACACGUGCAUCAUCGUCAGACAAUAAUAUCACACAAAUUUCCCUUAUUGCUCUUCCUGCAAUACAUCAAAUGUGAAUUUUAACAUUUUGAGCCGAUGACCUAUUUUUGUCAUAACUGCUCCGAUGCAAACUGGCUCCAUAGACUGCGCUGAGAGCAUCACGUCUUCUUAAGACUCUCUAACAGUGAUGUUGCCAUAAAAUACGGGGUAUUAAUUAUGACUGCAAUAUAUGAGUAAGGCAAUUAUAUCAGACAGGCGCAGUCGCUGCAACGAGGACUAAUUGCAUUAUUAAAAGCUAAAAUAUUGUAAACAAGACGAACGUGCCACACAUGCUUCUCUACACGUGAAUGCACCGUAUCUAUCUAUCUAUCUAUCUAUCUAUCUAUCUAUCUAUCUAUCUAUCUAUCUAUCAUGAAAUCUGACACAUCAACGCGUUACCAUUAAGGAAAGGCCUAUUGAGAGACACUGAAAAGUUUUACUUGAUUAGUCUCAAUUUCCAGCCACCAUUAGCUGCUUUAAACAGGCCCGAGGUGACUACAAAUGAGCGUCAUCGCUUGGGCAAUAUUUACAACUUAGUUUCAAAACACAAUUAAAAAGAACUUGCACGGGAAAUGACAACAGAAAGGCCGUGCAACAGUGCAAACUGGGGUGUCUGACCGGGAAAUGCUCCACUGCAUGACUGAGGUGACCAGGCUCCGUAGCCGCGUGCACUGGUUACGGGCUACGCUCCUCUGGCUUCCUCCGGAGUCCUGUCUGGUCAGAGCUCCUGCAGACAGUGGUAACUAGGAUUUACACAAGCUCCAGUCUGGAUCCAGAACACCUGAGAAGAGAUGAUGCUGACCCUCAGAGGACCCCAGAUGAUGCUAACCCUGAAUCAACAAACAGAACUAACAAUUAUUGCUACAAGUGUGACUGCAUCAUAUAAUAAUUAUUAAUUAAUAAUAUUAAUAAUGUUCAUCAUCUGGCUGACUACGUCUUGCAUUAUUUUCUACAAAUCCUGUUAUAGGUGCACAAACUGACAGUCACCACUAAUAAACUAUUACUAAAUAUUGUAGAAACAUAAUUUUCUGUAAAGUUGCUUUCUAACGAUUUGUAUUGUAAAAAGCGCUAUACAGAUAAACUUGAAUUGAAUUGAAUUAUCUGAGCAAGUCAAUAAAAUUUAAUAUCAAUAAAAAAGAAAAUCAACAAAAUGUAUACAUUUUUUAAUCAAUAAAACUUAACACACAGUUCAAUACAGUUCAAACAAGGCCAAAUGUAAAAAAAAAAAAAAAAAAAAGAAAAUAUAUAUACAUACAUACAUAUACCACGGUCAUAUAUAUAUAUAUAUAUAUAUAUAUAUAUAUAUAUAUACACACACACAUACAUUUCAGAUAAAUGCUGUUCUUUUAAACUUUCAAUUCAUGUAAGAAACCUGAAAAGAUUGUACUCGGCUGUUUUCAACAUAACAUAACAACAACAAUAAUAAUAAUAAUCAGAAAUGUUUCUGAGCAGUAAAUCAUCAUAUUUUCAUGAUUUCUGAAGAUUAUGUGACACUGAAGACUGGAGGAAUGAUGCUGAAAAUACAGCGGAGCAUCACAGAAAUAAAUUACUCUAUAUAUUCUAAUAUAAAGCAGCUGAUUUAAAAUAGUAAGAAUAUUUAAAAUGCUACUUUUUUUUGCUGUACUUUGGAUCAAAUAAAGGCAUGCUUGGUGAGCAGAAGAGACUCCUCAAAAAACAUUACAAAUCUUUCUGCUGAAAAACAUUUGACUGGUAGAGUAUUUUAAAUAAAAUAAUUAUUUACAGAGUUUAAUAUUAGCCAUUACUAACAUUUAGUGUUUACAAAACUGAGCAAGAUAAAAUAACAAUACAAAGUCAAUACAAUUAAUUAACACACUAAAGUACAGUGUAAACAAGGCCAAUACUUCUGAUGUUUUAUUUAACAACUGGAAAUAAAUUAAAUAAUUUAAAAUUGUAGACUAAACAACAACAGCUACAAUAAUAUUAAUAAUAAUACAAUUUAAAGUUGUGGAAAACAUAGAAAAACAACAACAACAAAAAACAAGCCUUCGGCCUGUUGAAGAAGAUCCUUGCUCCUAUGGUGCGUUGCCAAGAGAUCUUCACGGGCAAUUCUCAGCAGAUCUGUCCAUCUAUGGUCCAACACGAAGACCAGCCGUUCUGAGGGGUCCAGUGUGAGCUGAACGAGGGACGCAGUUAUGGCCGAUGGUGUGGUGUUCUACAGAAGAUGAACAGGAUUACUUUAUUGCAAUAUUUGUCUUGGUGUUAUGUGCACAUAUGAGACAGACAGUUUACACACAUAAGUGCCUGUAUGAAUAAUUUAUUUACCUGCAUCUGGAAGAAACCCUUCUGACCUUUGAUCCUCCGCUGUCAAAGUGUCUGGUGUGAUGUUUUGGUGGACUGAGACCGUCUUUAGGGUGACCUACUCUGCGGAGGAUGGGUCUUGACAGAGGAUGCUUCAUCUAAACAUUCCUGAAAUAUAGAUUCAAAUUAAAUAUAUCAAAUGUAUUUUAUAAUUCAUAAUAUAUAUAAUUUUAGAUUAAA